CGUUAAAACACCAGUUCCCGCACGAUGACAGAAGUUAAGCUAUAUCGAGCCUGGUCAGUACCUAGAAUGGUGACUGCUUGGGAAUACCAAGUGCUG